AACGCAAAUGGCGCUUUUGAUCACUCAAAAGCAUGUCUGUCUGAGAGUCGAUAAAACACCUCUUUCUCAUAUUAUUUGAUUGUUUCGCGCAAUCAAAUAAGUCAGAUGUGAAAGGAAAUGAGGGAGAAUCGCAAUAUAUCACAUUCGUGUGUUAUGUUGAGUCCCUUUAAAUGAAAGGAUAAAUGGAAAGAUAUAAACUUCAUAUAUAUUCAACAUAUAUAUAAAUCCUCACCCAAAGUGAGACAACAUUUCUUUUGAUGUUUCAUUAGUAAGUUUGGCGAAAUGUAUGUGCGGAUUAUAUGAUGUGAUCUUUCACGUUUCAUUCAACAAGAAAAACACAUUUACAUAUGUGUAUUUUAUCAAACAAAAUUUAAAACUCCGACCUCAGAUCAGACAAGACUACCCGCUGAAUUUAA
rnacentral:misc_RNA from 1 species